rnacentral:rRNA from 1 species
UUAAGAAUCUUGGACAAUGGACGCAAGUCUGAUCCAGCGACGCCGCGUAGAUGAUGAAGGUCUUCGGAUUGUAAAAUCUAAUAAGUAGAGACGAAGAAGCACGGGGUAAUAUUCCGUGUGGUGACGGUAUCUACCUAAAGCCACGGCUAAAUACGUGCCAGCAGCCGCGGUAAUACGUAUGUGGCAAGCGUUGUUCGGAAUUAUUGGGCAUAAAGGGCAUCUAGGCGGGAUAUUAAGUCGGGUGUGAAAUCUCGAGGCUCAACCUCGAAACUGCACUCGAUACUGGUAUUCUUGAGUAAGGGAGAGGAAAGCGGAAUUCCUGGUGUAGCGGUGAAAUGCGUAGAUAUCAGGAAGAACACCGGUGGCGAAGGCGGCUUUCUGGCCUAUUACUGACGCUGAAGUGCGAAAGCGUGGGGAGCGAACGGGAUUAGAUACCCCCGUAGUCC